rnacentral:sRNA from 1 species
CAGAGUCUUGCUGUGUUGCCCAGGCUGGUCUUGAACUCCUGGCCUCAAGUGAUCCUCGUGUCUCAGCCAUCUGAGUAGCUGGGAUUAUAGGCGUGCCACCAUGCCCAGCUCGUGAUUUAUUUCUUGAGCAUUUGAAGGUGCCCCGUAGCUGGGAGAGGGAAGGCUCGCUGCAGAUGGCACCCCCCUUUUGGUUAGUCUUGGCAGGGCCUCCCUGAGCUAACAGGAGCCCCUCUCUUCAGUGCAGGUCGUAAUCUGAAGGAGUGGCUGAGGGAGCAAUUUUGUGAUCAUCCGCUGGAGCACUGUGAGGACACGAGGCUCCAUGAUGCAGCCUACGUCGGGGACCUCCAGACCCUCAGGAGCCUACUGCAAGAGGAGAGCUACCGGAGCCGCAUCAACGAGAAGUCUGUCUGGUGCUGUGGCUGGCUCCCCUGCACACCGUUGCGAAUUGCGGCCACUGCAGGCCAUGGGAACUGUGUGGACUUCCUCAUCCGGAAGGGGGCCGAGGUGGAUCUGGUGGAUGUGAAAGGACAGACGGCCCUGUAUGUGGCUGUGGUGAACGGGCAUCUAGAGAGUACCCAGAUUCUUCUCGAAGCUGGCGCAGACCCCAAUGGAAGCCGGCACCAUCGCAGCACCCCCGUCUACCAUGCCUCUCGCGUGGGCCGGGCCGACAUCCUGAAGGCCCUCAUCAGGUAUGGGGCUGAUGUUGACGUGAACCACCACCUGACUCCUGAUGUCCAGCCCCGAUUCUCCCGGCGGCUCACCUCCUUGGUGGUCUGCCCCUUGUACAUCAGUGCAGCCUACCACAACCUCCAGUGCUUCCGG